rnacentral:tRNA from 1 species
GGCGCUAUGGCCGAGUGGUUAAGGCGGCUGGCUGAAGACCAGUUGUGCACCGCACGCGUGGGUUCGAACCCCACUGGCGCCG